UACGUAGGGGGCAAGCGUUGUCCGGAUUUAUUGGGCGUAAAGAGCGUGUAGGCGGCCAGGUAGGUCUGCUGUGAAAACUCGAGGCUCAACCUCGAGACGUCGGUUGAAACCACCUGGCUAGAGUCCGGAAGAGGAGUGUGGAAUUCCCGGUGUAGCGGUGGAAUGCGCAGAUAUCGGGAGGAACACCAAUGGCGAAGGCAGCUCGCUGGGACGGUACUGACGCUGAGGCGCGAAAGCGUGGGGAGCGAGCAGG
rnacentral:rRNA from 1 species